rnacentral:tRNA from 1 species
GGACCAUUAGUUCAGUGGUAGAACAUUUGUCUCAUAAGCGAUAUGUCGUAGGUUCGAUUCCUAUAUGGUCCA